rnacentral:lncRNA from 1 species
GCCACUGCAGUGUUUGCACCAGGAAACAGGUGCGGAUCAGCGAACUCAGGAACACACAGCUGACAGACUAAAGCACGCUAACAGAGCACUGAAUUGCCUUGUCACCCCCACACAUAAUUUACUGCAUCAACACCGCAACCUGAACGAAUCGGUCCAGCUACAAGACUUGCUCACUAACCCUGGCGGAAUUGGGUAGCCUCCUUUUUGCCCUUCCGCAACAGAAUGAGGAACCGCCCCGUAUGUGGGUUGCUCGUUUCAGUUGCUAUCGAAGUUGUGUGUACGUGUAAUGAUGGACGUGUGUGUAUUUGCAUGGAUACGGGGUUUCGGAUAUCAAACUUGUGAUUGCAAAUGAGGACAUUUGAGGGACGAGUCGGCGCUGUCUGGGAACGUGUAGGGGGCAGAUUUCCUCAAUAUCAUUGCGCAAAGUGAAGCCUACUGUAGCUCACGUGUGCAACAUACCAGGACGUGUCAAAUUUCACCGCACACGAUGCUUCGUGGAAAAGUCCCAAGGCUUGCCCUGAUAAGUCACCGCGCUCCGCCCUUGCAAAGUUGGCACCAUCCAUGGCCAUGGGUGUACACUUUCCUCAGUCAGCCAUAGCCACAGCUUCUGUCACGGCGCCAUAAAGCCCACCAUUUCUUGCCAUACCACCAGCAAGGAGAAAAUGGCGACCGGGGCGUUGCACAUGGGCAGCGUCCGCACCUCGAUUUGCCCGCGGCCGUGGAUCAGCCAAAAACCCUUCUUCCCCCAGCCUCCUGCCCUGGCCUGAGCCCCCGAAAGAACUAGGCCAAGCCAAAACACCAGCCGAGAGAAACCCUGUCCACCAUACCUCCAUUAUUCUCGCUUCUCAGGGUAAAGAAAUACCACCAGCCGAGAGAAAUCAAGCACAAUGCAGUUCGCCGGAGCCAUCCUGCUCCUCCUCAUGCUCGUCCCCUGCGCCGAGGCACAACCGCCCGAGGCGACGCCGCCGGGGGGCUUGGCGAUCGAGCAGAUCAUGUCCAAGAGCGGGUGCGGCGCCUUCGCCGGCCUCGUCGCCGCCACGGCCGGCGUGGGCCAGGUGCUCCGCGAGCGGAGCUACGCGGGGCUCACCGUGUUCUGCCCGGACGACGGCGCGGUCGCGGCGUUCGCCCCGCGCUUCAGCAACUCCUUCUCCACCACGGGCUGGCGGCGCGCUCCGCCGACGUGGAGCGCUUGCUGACCCACGGCCACAGGCAUAUUGAGGUGCAGACGCUCGACGGCGGCCGCUGGGGGUACGGCAUGGUCACCAUCUGGUACUACGGAGGCGCCAUGGAGCUCUCCUCGUCGCCGGCAUCGUUCACGACGCCGGUCGAGGCCAGGGUCACCGGCACCGUCGUCUACAACUACCGGCUCACCGUCUACCUCAUCGACGCCGUCCUGGUUCCGGGAGCGCCGGCGGUGUUCGACUAGUCGGACAUCUUGGUGACCACUUGCGUCAUGCUCGGGCUCAUGAUGUUGUGAGUACUAUACUACUACUAUUUCCUUGAGAUGUUUGCCUCUUUUUUCACUCAGCAGAUCUUAGAGAAUGGACGAUGCUGGUGCUUGAAUUGCUUCUAGCUUUCCAAAUCUUAACACGUGAAGAACUGUAUCCGCAGAGUCUUGGGGUCGUGUGGUGCCAUUUGUUCGUGAAUGAGAAGAUCGUGCCAGAGUUGCGCCAUAGCUGAUCUCCGUCCUCGAUGUACACGCUGGUGUUCAGCGCAGUGGGCAAAGGGCACUGUUGGUGGAACUUUUUCUAUGUAUAUUAGUGUUUAGUUACUUUUGGAUCUAGACUCCAUGUCAUGUAAGAAAAUGUUGUUGGCCAUGAAUUCUUCUGUACCUAACUUAGUAGUCUGAUCCAUUAUUUGUCGCUCAAUUAGUACAAUCUUGUGCUAUAGUCGCACUAAGUGAGCAACAAAUAACAUUGAUCCAAGGGAGUAAGUAGCAAAAACAUUAUAUUGCUAGCUCAAGGAUAAAACAGAAAACCUGCGCACGCCUGCAAGGCUUAAACAACUGCCAUACAUCAGACUACUCGAUUGAUCGAGGAGGAUACAGAGGUACACAUGACGACUGAGAUUGGGUAAUCAUUGGUUCGUUAACCCUUUUACACAUCACAGAAUCGCCACUGCAGUGUUUGCAUCAGGAAACAGGUGCGGAUCAGCCAACUCAGCAACGCACAGUUGACACCAACAGAGGCACUGAAAUGUGUUGUCACCCCACACAGAAUUUACUGUAUCAACACCACAACAUGAACGAAUCAGCCCAACUACAAGACUUGCUCACUAACCCUGUCUGUUAUUUCCACCGUCUUGCUCUCCCGAGAGCUCAGCUGUUCUCAACGGAGGGCUCAGCUGUUCUCAACGGAGGAAUCGGCAUCGCCCUUGUCCUCGAGCUUCUCCAUCGCUGAAGCAAGAUAACUGUCGCAGAAGCCAGGGGGCUCGUGGAUGAAGCAAGAGAUCACAUCUCGCAGUGUCACAACACCGACCACCUCAAAGUCGCCAUCCACCACGUAUAUCCGGUGGGUUAUCCUCGACCCGAUGCUGUCGAUCACGCUGCCCAUGGAAGCAUCAGGUGCACAGGUGAGUGGCGGCUUCACCAGCCCAUUGUCCCCCGAGUCAGGAAGAGUGGAACCUAGAGCCUUCAUGAAAUCCAACACGGUAAGGUGCCUGGAUGGAUCAAAAGUAUCAUUAGACACGUGAAG